rnacentral:rRNA from 1 species
GAUGAACGCUGGCGGCGUGCCUAAUACAUGCAAGUCGAGCGAACAGACGAGGAGCUUGCUCCUCUGACGUUAGCGGCGGACGGGUGAGUAACACGUGGAUAACCUACCUAUAAGACUGGGAUAACUUCGGGAAACCGGAGCUAAUACCGGAUAAUAUAUUGAACCGCAUGGUUCAAUAGUGAAAGACGGUUUUGCUGUCACUUAUAGAUGGAUCCGCGCCGCAUUAGCUAGUUGGUAAGGUAACGGCUUACCAAGGCAACGAUGCGUAGCCGACCUGAGAGGGUGAUCGGCCACACUGGAACUGAGACACGGUCCAGACUCCUACGGGAGGCAGCAGUAGGGAAUCUUCCGCAAUGGGCGAAAGCUUGACGGAGCAACGCCGCGUGAGUGAUGAAGGUCUACGGAUCGUAAAACUCUGUUAUUAGGGAAGAACAAAUGUGUAAGUAACUAUGCACGUCUUGACGGUACCUAAUCAGAAAGCCACGGCUAACUACGUG